GUAGGUGGCAAGCGUUGUCCGGGAAUUAUUGGGGCGUAAAGCGCGCGCAGGCGGUUCUUUAAGUCUGAUGUGAAAGCCCACGGGCUCAACCGUGGAGGGUCAUUGGAAACUGGAGAACUUGAGUACAGAAGAGGAAAGCGGAAUUCCACGUGUAGCGGUGAAAUGCGUAGAGAUGUGGAGGAACACCAGUGGCGAAGGCGGCUUUCUGGUCUGUAACUGACGCUGAGGCGCGAAAGCGUGGGGAGCAAACAGGAUUAGAUACCCUGGUAGUCCACGCCGUAAACGAUGAGUGCUAAGUGUUACGGGGGUUUCCGCCCCUUAGUGCUGCAGCUAACGCAUUAAGCACUCCGCCUGGGGAGUACGGCCGCAAAGGCUGA
rnacentral:rRNA from 1 species